CAAGAAAGGCAUGUGGAAGAAUAACAGAGCCUGGACUUCAGGUUUCUCACUGUGUGACAGGAUACUCAGCUGGUACGUGGGGGGAAGGGAAGAGCAGAAGUCCAAUAAGGGCAGAGAAAGUAGGCUCUCAUGAGAUGUGAACAGAAAGAAGAUCAAUGACUAAGAGCUGCAGCUGUGUAUGCGAUACCUUCCAGAUGACUCAUCCUUUUUUUGACUGAAAAAUGAAGUUCUGGCAGCAAAUUGUCACUUGAUGAUGUCUAACCUGCCGCUGACAUCUGCUGUAGACAGGACAAGCCUCAAACUCUUUAAAAGAGAUUGCAGUUACGAUACAUGAAAUGGGUCAGUGGGGUAACACCAUCACUGAAGAGGAUUUCUUUUCACUUACCUUUUUGCUUUUGCUGCAAAAAGUCUGUGAUGAAGUGAAACUUGCAGGAAUUUGAGAUUCUCACCAAUAAUGUUUCAAAUGAGGCCCUCUUGAAGUACUGGAAGGCUGCAAUGAGUUCUCCCUGGAGCCUUCUCUUCUCCAGGCUGUACAAGCCCAGCUCCCUUCAUUUGACUCCUCAAAGAAGGAGAGGAUCAUCAGAAGGGCUCCAGCCCUCUGACGAUCCUCACUGCCCUCUUCUGGACCCACUCCAAUAGGUUCAUGUCCUUCUUGUGCUGGGAACCCAGAGCUGAAGGCAAUUCUGCAGAUCGCAAUGUCUGAAGUGACGUGUGUCUUAAUUGAAGAUACGCGCAUGGGAAGCUUCAUAGAGCACAUGCAAGAAAAGAAAUUCUUUGUGAAAACCUGACCACAUUCAGUACACCGUGGUCACAAAGGCCAAAAUGCCGGUGGGCUGAAGUGAGAACCUUUUCCUAUAAUAGCCCCCAUUUACCAGCCUACUUCAGGAAGAGAGUGGCUGGAUGGCAGUGAUAGUACACUUUGACUGGAGAUUUCCUGACUAACACUGACCUAGACAUGACUGGAUGUCCUGCAAAGUGAUGAAUGAUUACUUAAGAUAAGUAAACCUUGUGAUGACUUCCUUCUGCCUUGGGCACCAAAGUCUUGAUGGGUUGCACAGGAAAAAUGCCUUGCCUUAGAGAGAAUCAUCUAAGUAAGGAUCUAAGAUUAGUGAAGAAUGAAGUCCACAUAGGAGAGAAGCACUGCUGCCAGGUCAACAUCCUCUUUCUGGGACUGAAGCAGAAGCUUGCACAAGAAAGCACUUACAUCCGUUCACAUGAUGAGCAGGAUGUUUGUUCUGGAGGAUUCAGAUCUCUGGAACCCAUAUCCUGAGGAAACCUGGAUCAAGAACAAGCUACAGCUUUCUUGCAGCUGUGGUGGUGUCUUUUUAUGUGAUACCACUAGAAGUGUUGUAUUUUCUAUGGCCUUUGAGGCUUCACUCUACUACUUCUGGACUUCUCCAAGAGUACUUUCUACCCAGCUUUUCCUUCUUAAAUCUAGGAGGAGUUUUAGUGGCUUAUUCCAAAUUUACAUACGUAUGAUUCUAAAUAUAACACUUGGACAAUAGAAUACCUGGCCUGGAGAUAUGGAUACUCCUUCAACGUGGUGUGUUCCUGAAUCUGACACUACUCUAAAGCUGUAGUGGAAGUACAGUAUUUAAAUUCUCUUCAACUCUGUACUUUAGCCAUCCAUUGAGUGCCACAGUCUAGAUUAGAAGAGUAUAUGCAGGGCACUAGCUGCAAAAGAAACCAUUGUAAUAUCAGUGUGCUGCUGGACUGGAAAGGUUGAGAUGGUUAGUAAAGCAAGUUGCACUAAAAAGGCCAUUGAUCAUAUUUAGCAGCUGUUUUAGAAAUAGCAAGCUAGUAUCUUGUGCCCAGAAUUGCAAAAUAUCUGCAUCAUCUGGUUUUUCUUUUUUUCUUCUUUUUCUUUUUUUUCUACAAAGAAUCCCAUUAAAGUUACUGAGGAUUUGCACUUUUAAGGAAAUCAUUUAAUAGAGGGUGGUAUAUCUAAAAGCUGUAUCUAAGGAAAGUCCUGACGUUCUUUAAGUCAUCAGGCCAUCAAAAAGCAAAUGGUAUCCACACUAUUUGUUUGGGGACAGCGCCAUAGAAACAGUUUGGUUUUUCCUCCCUCUCUUCCAUCUCUCUAUAGUCAUCAUCUACAACUCUUUCCUUCCAUUCCCCAUCAACGAGCUUUUUCUGUGCACUCUCCUAACGAAUUUUGGAUAACCUUAGAAGGUGAACCUUACUCUGCUGCAAGUUUGGUCUGCUCAUACUGCCAGCUUUCUGCCACCACUGCUUAAUCAUGCAACUUCCUCCUCUGCAACUUGUCUGUCCUGUUCAUCCAAAUCUUUUCACUCAGAGCAGCAAUAGUGUUCUGAUUAACUGGUGUGCUGGCAGAGAUUACUAAAGGUAUCUGUCUGGAUGCUGCUGUGAUAUGGACACGACUCUAAUAUCUUUAAUUUUGGUACACUGCUUUGUUGUUCGCUUGUUUGUUUAAAAUGCUCUUCUGUUAUAUUUGCGGUGAUGAAAAAUAAACUAACUGGCAUCCAGCUCUGAAACUGUGGUGUUGGUGGGGGAGGGCUGCCCACUUGAAAACAAGCAAGAAGUCUUACAAAUAUUUGGACUAAUUAAUUCACCAGCUUUUCUUUACAGAACUCUUUUGUGAUAAUAAAGCCAUUCACUGACCAAGAGAGUACAUUGUCCAUUUGGUUACUGUUUUGUAUCUCAUGUCAAACAAAAGCCACUGCCUCCUACAACAGUAACAGCCGAGUAUUUUCACUACUUAAGCAGUUUCCUCUUCUAGCUGCUGGAUCGUCAGAAAUUCUAAUCAACUCUGAUCUAACACAAAGUACUACAUGGCAUUCAUCAUCUGUUUUAGCCUUUAAUGCACCAUGCAGGUUUUAAUCAAAGGCAUGCAGCCAUUAGCAAAAAAGAAAGACAAGAAUUAUGACAGUGUCCUAAACAGACCUCUUAAGCUGACAUCACAGGCAGCAGAUAAAUUCAUCUCCCCUUGUUGAAUACAAAAACAGGCAAAUAAGAUGGGCCUUGCUUGAAAUAAUUGCAGGAGAGCACCACUGAGAUUUCAGGGCAGUGACUUCCAUUGUUUUUAGUACUAAGCAUUAAGGCUUAUUUGCUUGGCUUUCCUAUAUAUUGAAAGCAAAUGUUGGCACUCUCAGCUUGAUGUGUGGGAGCUGCUGGAUAAUCUCCUUGUUUGGGUGGGUGCCCGUAUCAUCCACUGUUGUCACAGGGAGUCAAGGGGUCUGGUAGUGAUUGGCAAAGCCUGAUCCCAGCACAUCCCUUAUGGCAGCCAGGUCUUCUGAUUUCUCAUCUCUUCCUAAAUGAACUCUGUUUGUCAUCUCUCCUCUUUUUCUUUAGCACAGGACUAGGUAAGAUGUUGCUGAUUGUGUGUAGAACAGAAUAGGACAGUUCUGUCAAAAGAGACCUUCAGAGAUCAAGUCCAACUACCUGACCACUUCAGGACUAAGCAAAAGUUAAAGCACAUUAAUGAGGGCAUUGUCCCUGUGACUCCUGAACACUGACAGGCACAGAGUGUCAACCACCUCUCUAGGAAGCCUUCUCCAGUGUCUGACCACCCUCAUAGAAAAGGAGUGUUUCCCAGUGCCCAGUCUGACCCUCCCCUGGCAGCUCUCUGCCAUUCCCAUCAGUGACCAGGAGCAGAGCCUGGCACCUCUCUGCUCCCCCUCCUCACAAAGCUGCAGAGAGUAGCGAGGUCGUCUUUGCACCUCCUCCAGCCUGGACAGCCCAAGUGUCCUCAGCCUUUUCUCACAGGACACACCUACCAACCCUGCUAUCAGUUUUGGUGCCUCCUCUGGAAGCGUUCAAGGACUCUAACACCCUUUUUAUACUGUGGCGCCCAGAACUGCACAUGAUGUUCAAGGUGAGGUUGUACCAUCACUGAAUAGAGUGGGAUAACCACCUCUUUUGACCAGCUGUCCGUUCUGUGUUUGAUGCACCCCAAAAUGUGGUUUGCCUCUUGGCUGCUAAUCAUGCUGCUGGCUCAUUCUGAGCUGCUGUCACCUGCACCCCCAAUUCCCUCUCUGCUGAGCUGCUCUCCACCACUCUUGUCCCAUCUGUGCCUGUGUCUGACAUUGCUCCAUCCUGAGGCUUCUUACUCGCAUACAGUCCUGGGUUUUCCUCCUGCAUAUAUCCUGGCAGGUUGCAGCUGGUGACUGCCAGUUUCUAGAUAAAGUGGCCUUUGUUUCUUGCUCUGGUUGUCAGAGUAUGUUAUCAAGCUUUGAAUCAGCUUGACAUGUGGGGGAGAGCUGGUUCGUGCUGCACAGUUCCUUCAUUUGUGCCUAGUUGAGGGAAGGAUGAAGGUUGUCUUUUUGGAGAGAGAAGCAGACUGUGGGUACAGCAGUGUGAUCUCCCUCCUGCCACACUCAUGAGUGUGACUUUUUGAGAGGGGCUGCAUGAGGGUGAAUAAACACACAUUCCCUUGUGCGUCCGAGGGAAAGCUACCCUUCAUAGGGUGCAGGCUGGGCUACCCUAGGGACAGCUGCUGUUUGCUCAGACUUCUUUUUCCUUCUCCUAUUCUUCUCAGUUCUGGUGUUGGCAGAGCUGUUUCAGGUCCCACCUUACAAACAAAUGCUGUGAUCUGUGCCAGCUCGUGGCAUUUCCUUGAACCCAUGGUAGCAACAGGGAAUGAAGGCACACAUCACUCUCUAGCUGGUGCAAGCAGGGUGGGAAGCUGAUAGUUACCCAGGGAGCCUGUUGUGAGUGGGGAGUCACUGUUAAAAUUAGCCAUCGAGGGGUCUUUGAGCUCAAGAAGCCAUGCAAAUUGUGCAUGGGUGGAUUUCUUCCUCAAGCUUGCUCACAGUGUAUGAACUUGGUGGAAUAUGUUUGUUGAUUAGGAGGUAUUCAGCAGAAUUUCCCCACAUCAUGGUAAAUGUCGAGGAGAGUGCUGUGGACUCAGUUCCCUCUUAUAAAUCAUUGCCGCUAGUGGGAGCAGGCCCUGGACGGACAUUAGAAUUGGUCUUUCUCAUGUGUCAUCUGAGGGCUGUGGCCUGAUUUUUCUCACGCCAAAUUCAGUGCAUAACCUCCUAUGGGGGCUGCUGUUCAGUCCCACUGCCAGGCCUUCCUCACUGCACUCUGCUUGUAGAAGAAACCUUUGUGUAAAUAGUUGCCUUUUAUUUUGACAUAGCGUUUAAUGUGCAACAUGUGGGUCUUUUAACAAACAUUUCUGGCAAAAGCUUAAUUUGGUUGAGGGGUGGGAUGCUUUAAAUCUAUCUGUGCUUCCUGUGUCUGGCUUGCUCCUAGCUGUGCAUGGAAGUCAGAGAUCUUCCACAACACCUUGAGCCCAAACAGUGGGAUUAUAUUCUCUGUUUGCUCUAAAAAAAUAAACAAGCUUCGGUUGUUUUAACCCAGAAAUGCAAGAGAAGAUGGCGCUGAGCUGGAAGAGUGUGAUGGAACUUAAGAUAUUUGGACAGCCCCAGCCACAAGAGAUGAAGCUUAAUUUCCCAUGUAUGGAAACCUCCCUUCUUGCCCAUUGCUGCAGAAGUCACUAUACUAAGUUUCCAAAAUAUAAUGGGAGCCUAUUCAGACAUCAAGGUCCUGGUAACUUGAAUAUGUUGGUGGUGGGAAUUCUGGACACAUCACUCAAAAUUCCAUGAGCUACACUUUGGUCCUAUCAAGACAGGCAGGCAGCUGCAUGAGAGGUGGAAAGAGAGAAAAUGAUUGAGAUGAAAUCACCACCAACAACUAUUGCAGGCAGCAAAGCAGCAUUGGAUUCCAGCCACCAUACUUCUGCAACCAGGUGUGAAUGAGCCUGAUGGGAUGUUAUUAUGGAUCCUACACUGAAAAAGGCUGCUAUUUUGAGCUAACCUCAGUACCCACAGAGGGCUCCAUGACCCAUCCAUCGACUGCUGAGCUUGCUAUGAGACUAACUGCAACUCUGAGCCUGGUUUUCCCUCCCAUCUGGCAGUGAAAAUGAACUGCUGCUGACUGAAUGACCACUGAUUCUCUUGGAAGCAGAGCUCUGCUAAGAGCAACAGCCAACUCUGUCACCAUUUGUGAGGAUUUGUAGCUUGGGCCCUGAGACAUCUGGCUGAGAUAUUUACACAGUCCUGUAUUGCACUCGCUGAGGCUGUGCGUUCACAUCUGGAGUCUAGACUGAGUGACUCUAUGGGCUGGCCUUCAAGCCUCCGAACAGCUUAUGUCCCUCUUGUUCUCUCAUUUUGUCCUUUUAUUGUUUUAUUGGUUUAUUUAUUUGCUGUAGGUGCUCCUAUCACAACUCUUCAGACAUUCCUGUCAUGACCACUUGAGAGCUUCAGUGAGGAAUGACAGCAACUGAAAGAAACCAGGCAGAACCAGAUGGGAUGGGUAGGGAAAAAAGGCUCUGUUGAGGCAAGGCUUUGAUUGCGUGGUUAUGGUGAUGGGGGAUGCCUGGUGCUUGAUUACGCUGUUUCUUCUGAGGCAUACAGCUGUGUUUGUGGGAAAUGACAGUGCUCAUCUGAACAGGGUUUGCAUUCAACACAAGCGACAGGGAGCAGUGGUUUCUGUAAGCUGUUAGCUGGCCACAUGGCUGAGCCAGGCAGGAGGAUGAGUUGCCCAGUACCCCGAGUCAGAUCCAUCAGUGGGAUGCAGUUACAACCUGGGUCAUAGCAGAGCUUUCUGCCUCAAGCUGGCUGAAGCAGUCCUCUGGCUGGAGAUAACCUUCAUUCAGUCUCCUCAGGGGUAAGGCAGGGGGCCAAGACCUAAAACAGGACAUGAUGGGUAGAAUUCAGUGCCAAAAUGUAGAGAUCUGAGGUACCUGAGUUGCUGGCACAGGCCUGGUAGAAUAGGAGAGACCUAGAGCAUCUAAAAGAGACAUCCAGCUUUAGGAAAUAAAUCUCUUCCACUAUUUCCUGUGUUCUGCCUUUGUGUUUAGUUAGGAAUCAUGUUUUAAAUUUGGGAUGCUACAAGCUGUAGCCCUGUACUGGUGCCAUACUGCAACAAGUGGACUCCUCCUUGGUCUGAGCACUGGCCCCAGCAAUAUUGGCUGCUGCUGCUAUUCCACACUGGGAGCACAUCUUCCCAAAUGGUGCUGCUCUCAUUCUCAGCCUCUUCAUUUCUUUCCCUGAGCCUUUAGUCUAUUAGUUCCACUUGCUCCUCUGUCCCAAAUUCUCCUUUGUUUUAGAUUUCCUGGUUGCUUAGCAGGCCUGUUUGCUGCUGCUGGAGAAAUACUGCUGGAGAGUCAAGAGCCAAGUAUUUUUGACAACUGUGAAGUUAUGACCAGGAAAUGCAGUGGAGAAACGGAAUGAUCUACACCCAAGAGGAACAUAACCACCACUGCAGAUUUAACUUUGUUGAAGUCUUUAGGAGAGGGAUUAAAAUCUGUGUUCACAGGCUGAGAGCAGGUGUCUGCGAUGAGAUCCCAUGCUGUGACAUGCAUGCAGCACACUCUUACAUGAAAAGCCCUGGCUGAUGAAAUGACCACAGGAAGACAACACAGAACCCUCCUGGCAGGAUCAGAAGAAGCUUAAUUAAGCUCUGUGGUUAAUGUUAAAGUCCUUUUGUCAGAAGCAUAACAAGGAACUUCAGUCUGGCUUUCAAAAGUGCUGAACACCCAAAACUCCUACUGAGGUCUCUGUGAAUCACAGCACAGAACAAGUGACUCUUCCCUUCACUCUGCAAGUGCUACAGAUUCAUGUGCUUCUACUAAAAUCUCCACGUGCCCGGCACUACAGAAGAGGAAGUGUGGCUCUCUGAACUGAGAUUUUUGGAUGAAGCUCCAAAAAAUGCUUCUGCUUCCAGCACUCCCCACCCCAUCCCACAGGCUGUCUCCUGGCCUUAUGCUCCUGUGUAUUGAGGGAAGGCAGCUCUUCUGCCCUGCAGGUGGAGAAAUCCCUUGGCCAGGCCUUGGUGGAUCCUUCAGGCCCAGCCUCUGUCCCACGGCUGCUCCCCAGCGCAGCACUCAUUUCUGCUGCAGAGAUGCAGGUAUCUGAGCACAAGCUACAUCGGUGCAAGGCUAGUUACUGUGCCAGGAGAACAUGUCCAACUGCCUCUUAAUAAAAGGAUGAUAAAGAGAAGGCUAGUAUUCUCCUGGAGAAGCUGGCAGUCCAUGGCUUUGACAGGUACAUUCUUUACUUUCUGGGCAAAAAACUGGCUGAAGGACAAGCCCAGAGCGUGGUGGUAAGUGGGGUUAAAUCUAGCUGGCAACCGGUCAUGAGUGGUGUUGCCCAGGGGUUGGUACUGGGGCCUGUCCUAUUUACUAUUUUCAUUAAUCACCUGGACAAGGGGCACCUUCAGUAAGUUUACAGAUGACAUCAAGUUGGGAGAAAGCCUUAAUCUUCCUGAGGGUAAAAAGGCCCUUCAGAGGGAUCUGGACAGGAUGGAUCACUCGGUUGAGGCCAAUGGGAUGAAGUUCAAGAAGACCAAGUGACAAGUCCUGCACUUUGGUCACAACAACCCUAGGCAGUGCUACAGGUUUCGGGCAGAGUGUCUGGAAGACUGUGGAGGAAAUGGACCUGGGGGUAUUGGUCAGCAUUUGUCUGAACAUGAGCAAGCAGUGUGCCAAGGUAGCCAAGAAGGCCAUUGGCAUCCUGGCUUCUAUCAGAAAUAAUGACAUCCUGACUUGUAUCAGAAAGAUUGUUACCAGCAGGACUAGGGAUGUAGUCAUGUAUCCAGUUACACAGUGGACUAGUUGCUGUGCUGAGAAGCACUAACAGACUACUCAUGUGCAGCCUUGUCCCUUUAAACAAGCAACCAGAGCAUGUCACCUGGACUUUGACACUCAUGAUUCAAAGAAGGAUAGAGACAGCCCUAUUUGGAAUAUCUAUAGGAGUGCCUGAAGUAACCCCAAUUCCCUGCUGAAGUACCUAAGUUUUCUCCUUUAUAUCUAUGCUUUCCUGGUCUCUGCAGAGACUUCCAAGGAAAAUCCUUAAUGAGGACUUGUCCUUCUUUCUUAUGGCAUGGACCCAUGGCCAAGGAAAACUACGCCAAGAUUUCCAAGCUUGUAGACGCCACCACUGCAACAUCUGAUUGGAACAACUGCUACCAUCCGGAGCUGAGCACAUCUGAACUGGUGAACCGUCUGACUGAUCCCCACUCACGAAAAAAAAGAAAAAAAGUGGAGGUUAAACUUUUGAAGAGUACCAAGAAAUGUCUCAAGUUACAUCCCCGGCCUGGAAUUUUAUCCCGUGGUACAUAAAAAAGGGAUGGUUACAUGGAGAAAGCUGGGUGAGCUGACAUAAGAGGUGCUACCAGAGCUUUGUUUGUUGUGUAAAGCAUGAGGGCCUAUUUCUGGCCAAGGAAGUAAACAGAGUUUGGCUGCAAGCUUAUUCUGCUACAGUGCUAAAAUAUUUCCCUCCUGGACACUUUCGUCUCUUUAUUUUUGAUUAAGUGCUGUGCCUCUGCCACCUUGCUGCUGCCUGCUGCUCCUUUCUCCGACAGUUCUCUUUUAUUCCAGCUUCUCUUUUCACUUUUGUCUUUGCUCAUUUGUUUUUCUCUUGGACAUUCUGUACAACGUGCUGUCAUGUACCAUCAUGUUUUAUCCUCUCUCAGCUCUACGUAGACUCCAGCCAGUCCGUGUAAGCUUCCCUGGCAAUUGUCCUGGAGCAGUGUUUCCAUACUAGCACUUCCUUUGUUCUUUGUCCCUGCCCAACUAUGGGAAUUUGUUUGCAUUUGCACAAAGCAUAGACAUUCUGUUUUAAAGAUUUUAUCCCACAGCUAUGUCAAGUUCCUAACACUGUUUGCAUCAUCUAAAAGGUUGCAUUUUUCAAAAACAAAAUAAGAGCCUGCUAGCUGCUUACACUGAGUGAUAAAACAGCAAGUACAAGAACUCUAAAAAAAAAAAAAUAAUAUAUGUGGGUUUGUUCAUGACCCUGACGAGACAUUCGUCUAUGUCGUAAUCAAAGAAUGGCCUGGGUUGGAAGGAACUUCAAAGAUCAUCUAGUAAUCCUUGUCUUCAGUCUACCACUGAUCUAAGCAUGAAAAAAUUGGCAGAUUUGUGUUAUCUAACAGCACCCUUUUCAGAGACAGAUAUAAGGAAGCACAUAGUAUUGGGGCAGCAUACUGUAUAGCAGGAGAAAAUUGACACUCUCAUGUGGGAUUCUGCCCUGGUAAUCUAGCUUAACACAGGCAAUACUGUAGCUUCUCCCAGUUGGUUCACACUUUCAACCUUUCUGAAUUUACUCAGGUGGAGAAAUUCUAAUGCUCACGCAAAAAUCCUACUCAUUGCAAAGAAAGGUUUACUCAUUGUCUAGGGCAGGGCUGAACAUCAAGAUGCCUAUGGACACUCUGCCAAGGCUCUGCUUCUUAUGUCACCUCAGAUUCAUUAGUUCAUCCAAGGCUCAGAGGAAGCAUCUAAUUCACUUUUUGUGAUAUCGUAUUGCCCACACCCAAACUCUGACUCUUGGCUGUGUUUUUUCUCAUAAAGCAGCAGCCAGCACCUUCCCCUGCAGCCUCCAACAUCUCUAUUAGACAGGCUAUUCUGCAGACCAUACCACAGAUAUAGAUAUCCAUCCUGUGCAGUGGAUAACUCUGCUUUAGAGGGCACACCAGCUGCAGUUUCUACUGCCACACCUUACUUCCUUUUGUUCAUAACUUUACCAAAAUUUAACUGUUUGGACUUAAUUGUUGAACAGAAGGUUUUUCUUUUCCUCUCACCAUCCAAACCUAAGCAUAUGGGAAAAUUUCAACUACAAUAUUUCACUAUUUCUAGAAAUUGAGACCAGAAUCAAGGAAAAUUAUUUGUUUAGGAAAAAGAAAGACAUCCUAGAACCUGCAUUAAGGUUCUUUAACAUUCUGCUACCUGGAACUAGACAUCUGCUUUCAGAAUGCUACUGUGUGGCUUGUUUGUCAUUUUUUUGUGGACAUUUUCCCAUAUGUGACAAAUUACAUACUUUUAAAAUAAAAAUCUCUGUGUGUUUGUUCAUGUCUGGAGAAGAUUUGUUGAAGUUGAGGAACUGAAGUAUCUGAGGAGUCCAAUUUUCAGACCCUUCCAGUGAGGACACUUCAUCUUCUUAUGCUUGAGGACCAAAUUAUAUGAUCUUGCUAUCAAGUGACUUGACAUGUUUUAGCCAGCAGUACAACACAGUCCUUCCUUGCUGAAGUAUUACUGUCAAUGGAACAUAAUGCCAGGAAAUUCUCUCUUUUAAUUCCCAGUUCUCCAUCUGCUCAUGCCCAGAAGAAAGAGCGAAUGGGAUGAGUUAGAAUUUUAAAUAAAAUAAUUCAAAUGAAAGCAAUAUUUGCUCACAUAAGCAUCAAGUACUGUGAUUUUCUAAUGCUGGUGGUGAUGGGAAAAGUUGUCAAGAAAGUUGUCUUUAAGCUUCCUUCCAACCUAAACCAUUCUAGGGUUCUGUGAGAUGUGGCCCAUUUGUUCUCUGCACUCCUCACUGAAUAUCUAAUAAUAAAAAUUAAUGUGAAUCCUCUGUGCUUCUGAAGAGCAAACUAUCACUAAAAGCAAUGUGCCAAAUACUCUUCUUCCAUGCGGCUCCACUGAUGGGCCAGGGAUGCAAAGACAGGGUUUGACAGUAAGAGAUUGCCACAAUGUGUGUGGGAUCCAGAGCAUUAAAAGGCAAGGUUACGAUUUCUCAACAUGAAAAGUCUGAAGGAGGAUUCCUGUUCAGAGUGAUUUCAUCUUAGAUGGGAAACAAAUGGAAGAGAAGACUGUGCACAUCUCUGUAAAGCGCUGUAGCAGUUUGGCAUGAUAGAGUGGCAUCUGGGGACUUGGAGAUAUACUCUUUGGAAAUGUAAAGGUAUAGACAAAAUGAAGUCAUAUUAGGCACAGAACCAUCUAUCUCUCAGCAGCGGAGCUGUCUCUCCCUAAUGUAUGUCACAUCUACUCAAAAGUGGGAGAAAACACUCUUCAGAUUCCCUAGUAUUUAUGGAACACACUGAAAGAAAUUGUACCUCAGAACACCAGACUUGCCCCAUAAAAUAAGGAAUGACACUGAUAUAAAGCUGAUUUUCUUGACUGCCGUUCUCAGCAUUCUGGAGAGCCUGAUCCCCAGUAAGGCAAUUUGGCAGAUAGCUAGCUGCUGUAAUGGGGGCAAAGACAUGCAUUUGUUGGAAGGAGAGGCAAAAAGGAAAUGUUAUAGCUUUACCCUCUAAAAUCCAACCCUGUACUUUAAGAACAAAGAUACUUUAAUCACCUUGGCAGCCAGUAUAGCCAGUUCUGAUAUAGGAAAGGUCAAAGAUAUCAUCCUUCUAUUAUCUAGAUUCUAAUUAGGUUGUGAGUAAAUAGGGAACACUGAAGUUGUUUACACAGUGAUUGUCAUGUGCCCUACUGACUUGAAAACACCGAAGACUCCAGCAGCUUUCAAAGCUGCCCAUUGCACAUGUACAUGGUUCUACAAAGUGCAGAAGAGGAGGCUCAGGGGAGAACUCAUCUCACUAAAACUACCUGAAAGGAGGUUGUAGUGAAGUGGACACUGGGCUCUUUUCCCAAGUAACUAAUGAUAGGACAAGAGGUAAUGGCCUCAAGUUGUGCCAGGGUGGUUCAGGUUGGAUGUUUGGAAAGAUUUCUUCUCAGAAGCAUGGUGAGAUAUUGGAACAGACUUCCCAGGGAGGUGGUAGAGUCACCAUCCCGGGAGGAUUUCAAGAAAAGGGUAGAUGUCACACUGAGUGACGUGAUCUAGAAGGGUCACAGGCAUGGGCUGAUGGUUGUACUAGAUGACCUUAGUGAUCUUUCCAACCUUAAUGGUUCUAUGACUCUAUGAAAUGUGGUGAAUUUGAUCUUAGCCUGAAAGAUUUUUUUUAAGUACAUGCACGCUCAUUCCAAAAAAAAAAAAAAAAAAAAAAAAAAGAGAGAACUGUAGAUCUCCAAAGAAUAACUGAGAAGUCAGUAUAGUUCCCCAGAGUGCUAAGACCUACCUAUCUGCUCUCCAUGCAAACUUCAUACAGACCAUGGUGUCUUAGUUUAGCUGAAGAUUAUCUGAGCAAUAAAAUGGCAUAAGGGAUGAAUUCAUCCAGUUUUUGGAAAAAGUUCUGCUCAUUUCCAUGAAAAGCCCUGCAGUGGUUGAGCUCCUUUUGACUUACGAUGAGAGAUGAUUUUGACCUGCUCUCUAUCAUCUGUUAGGCUGCAGCUGUGCCCUCUAGCACUGUAUAUGUAUUCCAAGCUCAUCUAGAUGUGGAAACAAAAGCACAAAUGAGAUGACAAUCUUCCAUUCUUUCUGUGUGCUGCCAAUACCUGUUUGUCCCUAUAAUGACAUUAAUCAUCUUUUAUUUAUAGUGGAAUAUUGGAAGCUUCAAUUUUUCCCUUUUGAUUUAUUUGUAGGACAACAGGUGCACAACUUAAGCAGGUGUAUGGAUGUGCACAUAUGCUGUGAGUUUGCCAAUAGCCAAAAUACAUCUUUAGUAAAUGAUUACUUGUACCAAAGCUGCCAUUAUUUUUGUUUCAUGCCUAAACUUAAUUCCACAACUGUUAGCUCUUACAGUCUAUUAUGUGCUUUGUGUUGCAACUGCAGUAAUGCAACUCAGAAAUGCAAAACCUCUCACCCUUCAAAACCCUUUGCAAACAAGAUGUCCCUAAACCAUACACUGCUCCCAGUUUCUGAUACUUGGAAAAGGUACCGAAAAUGUAUCAACAGUUUCCAUUGGCAACUGCUGCAGAAUAGCAUGAUGAUACCGGUCCAACAGCUGACACAAAAUGCCUUUCCAUAUGUAAAGCUGUGCCUUAAACACACAAGGGACACUAAGAAUAAACGUAUUUUCUAUUUCUUUUGUCUAACAG
ensembl:lncRNA